UACGGAGGAUCCAAGCGUUAUCCGGAUUUAUUGGGUUUAAAGGGUGCGUAGGCAGCCUAUUAAGUCAGGGGUGAAAGACGGUAGCUUAACUAUCGCAGUGCCUUUGAUACUGAUGGGCUUGAAUGUACUUGAGGUAGGCGGAAUGUGACAAGUAGCGGUGAAAUGCAUAGAUAUGUCACAGAACACCGAUUGCGAAGGCAGCUUACUAAAGUAUGAUUGACGCUGAGGCACGAAAGCGUGGGGAUCAAACAGG
rnacentral:rRNA from 1 species